rnacentral:rRNA from 1 species
GCUCCAAUAGCGUAUAUUUAAGUUGCUGCAGUUAAAAAGCUCGUAGUUGGAUUUCUGCCGAGGACGACCGGUCCGCCACUGGGUGUGCAUCUGGCUCGGCCUGGGCAUCUUCUUGGAGAACGUAUCUGCACUUCACUGUGUGGUGCGGUAUCCAGGACUUUACUUGAGGAAAUUAGAGUGUUUCAAGCAGGCACACGCCU